AUUGAACGCUGGCGGCAUGCUUUACACAUGCAAGUCGGACGAGCGGCGAACGGGUGAGUAACAUAUCGGUACGUACCACGUAAUGGGGGAUAACUAAUCGAAAGAUUAGCUAAAACCGCAUAUUAUUCGAGCGGCCGAUAUAUGAUUAGCUUGUUGGUGGGGUAAAGGCCUACCAAGGCGACGAUCAGUAGCGGGUCUGAGAGGAUGAUCCGCCACAAUGGGACUGAGACACGGCCCAGACUUCUACGUGAGGCAGCAGUGGGGAAUAUUGGACAAUUGGCGCGAGCCUGAUCAAGCCAUACCGCGUGUCUGAAGAAGGCAUUCGGGUUGUAAAGGACUUUUGUCAGGGAAGCGGUACCUGAAGAGUGAACACCGUCUAACUACGUGCCAGCAGCCGCGGUAAUAC
rnacentral:rRNA from 1 species